rnacentral:rRNA from 1 species
UACGUAGGGGGCAAGCGUUGUCCGGAAUUAUUGGGCGUAAAGAGCGUGUAGGCGGCUUGGUAAGUCUGGUGUGAAACCUUGGGGCUUAACCCCAAGCCUGCACUGGAUACUGCCUCGCUAGAGUCCGGGAGGGGAGAGCGGAAUUCCCAGUGUAGCGGUGAAAUGCGCAGAUAUUGGGAAGAACACCAGUGGCGAAGGCGGCUCUCUGGAACGGUACUGACGCUGAGACGCGAAAGCGUGGGGAGCGAACAGG